rnacentral:rRNA from 1 species
CGGCGGACGGGUGAGUAACACGUGGAUAACCUACCUAUAAGACUGGGAUAACUUCGGGAAACCGGAGCUAAUACCGGAUAAUAUUUUGAACCGCAUGGUUCAAAAGUGAAAGACGGUCUUGCUGUCACUUAUAGAUGGAUCCGCGCUGUAUUAGCUAGUUGGUAAGGUAACGGCUUACAAGGCAACGAUGCAUAGCCGACCUGAGAGGGUGAUCGGCCACACUGGAACUGAGACACGGUCCAGACUCCUACGGGAGGAGCAGGC